CAGUAGCCGCGGGAAUACAGAGGGUGCGAGCGUUAAUCGGAUUUACUGGGCGUAAAGCGUGCGUAGGCGGCUUCUUAAGUCGGAUGUGAAAUCCCUGAGCUUAACUUAGGAAUUGCAUUCGAUACUGGGAAGCUAGAGUAUGGGAGAGGAUGGUAGAAUUCCAGGUGUAGCGGUGAAAUGCGUAGAGAUCUGGAGGAAUACCGAUGGCGAAGGCAGCCAUCUUGCCUAAUACUGACGCUGAGGUACGAAAGCAUGGGGAGCAAACAGGAUUAGAGACCCCUGUAGUCCCUGUCUCUUAUAC
rnacentral:rRNA from 1 species